rnacentral:rRNA from 1 species
AUUGAACGCUGGCGGCAUGCUUUACACAUGCAAGUCGAACGGUAACAGGUUAAGCUGACGAGUGGCGAACGGGUGAGUAAUGCAUCGGAACGUGCCCGGUCGUGGGGGAUAACGCAGCGAAAGUUGCGCUAAUACCGCAUACGAUCUGAGGAUGAAAGCGGGGGACCGUAAGGCCUCGCGCGAUCGGAGCGGCCGAUGUCAGAUUAGGUAGUUGGUGGGGUAAAGGCUCACCAAGCCAACGAUCUGUAGCUGGUCUGAGAGGACGACCAGGCACAAUGGGACUGAGACACGGCCCAGACACCUACGGGAGGCAGCAGUGGGGAAUUUUGGAAAAUGGGCGAAAGCCUGAUCCAGCAAUGCCGCGUGCAGGAAGAAGGCCUUCGGGUUGUAAACUGCUUUUGUACGGAGCGAAAAGGUCUCCUCUAAUACAGGGGGCUCAUGACGGUACCGUAAGAAUAAGCACCGGCUAACUACGUGCCAGCAGCCGCGGUAA